ACCGACGUAGCUCAAUUGGUAGAGCAACUGAUUUGUAAUCAGUAGGUUGUAGGUUCGAGUCGCAUCGCUGGCUCCA
rnacentral:tRNA from 1 species